rnacentral:rRNA from 1 species
CCUACGGGCGGCUGCAGUGAGGAAUAUUGGUCAAUGGACGAGAGUCUGAACCAGCCAAGUAGCGUGAAGGAUGACUGCCCUCUGGGUUGUAAACUUCUUUUAUAUGGGAAUAAAAUGUUCCACGUGUGGGUUUUUGUAUGUACCAUAUGAAUAAGGAUCGGCUAACUCCGUUCCAGCAGCCGCGGUAAUACGGCGGGUCCGAGCGUUAUCCGGAUUUAUUGGGUGUAAAGGGAGCGUAGGUGGAUUGUUAAGUCAGUUGUGAAAGUUUGCGGCUCAACCGUAAAAUUGCAGUUGAAACUGGCAGUCUUGAGUACAGUAGAGGUGGGCGGAAUUCGUGGUGUAGCGGUGAAAUGCUUAGAUAUCACGAAGAACUCCGAUUGCGAAGGCAGCUCACUGGACUGCAACUGACACUGAGGCUCGAAAGUGUGGGUAUCGAACAGGAUUAGAUACCCGGGUAGUC